rnacentral:lncRNA from 1 species
GUAGUAAUCAAGCUCUCAGUCAAUGUCAGUGGAGCGUUGGUGACACUGGGACCACUCAGGGAAACCUGUGGAUGGAAGAGAUGUGACAUCACUUGAGGUUUUGUUGCGGCUGUUAUAAAGCAAGUCACUGAAGUCCAUCACUCACUAUGGUCCUGUUUCAAACUCAGAUCCUAUUAAGAAAAGUCAAGUAAUUCAGCAAAUGACUCAGAGCUUGAGAUAUCUGACAGGCGUAGAGCAUGCCCUGGGAGAAAUAGUUGCUACAGUAAAGGCCUGAUUGGUGGAGUGCUGCAGAGAUGGUUGUCCUUCUGGAAGGUUUUCCCAUCUCCACAGAGGAACUCGGGUUCUUGGUCACCUCCCCGACCCUUCUCCCCUGAUUGCUCAGUUUGGCCAGGCGGCCAGCUCUAGAUCACACAAUCCUGUCUCUGAGUUCUACGGACAAUUCCUUCGACCUCAUGGCUUGGUUUUUGAUCUGACGUGCAAUGUCAACUGUGGGACCUUAUAUAGACAGGUGUGUACCUUUCCAAAUCAUGUCCAAUCAAUUGAAUUUACCACAGGUGGACUCCAAUCAAGAUGUAGAAACAAUUCAAGGAUGAUCAAUGGAAACAGGAUGCACCUGAGCUCAAUUUAGUCUCAUAGCAAAGGGUCUGAAUACUUAUGAAAAGAAGGUAUUUCUGUUUUCUUUUUUUUAAUACACUGCAAAAACUUCUAAAAACCUGUUUUCGCAUUGUCAUUAUGG